rnacentral:rRNA from 1 species
AACGAACGCUGGCGGCAUGCCUAACACAUGCAAGUCGAACGAGACCUUCGGGUCUAGUGGCGCACGGGUGCGUAACGCGUGGGAACCUGCCCUUAGGUUCGGAAUAACUCCCCGAAAGGGGUGCUAAUACCGGAUAAUGUCUUCGGACCAAAGAUUUAUCGCCUUUGGAUGGGCCCGCGUUGGAUUAGCUAGUUGGUAGGGUAAAAGCCUACCAAGGCGACGAUCCAUAGCUGGUCUGAGAGGAUGAUCAGCCACACUGGGACUGAGACACGGCCCAGACUCCUAAGGGAAGCAGCAGUGGGGAAUAUUGGACAAUGGGCGAAAGCCUGAUCCAGCAAUGCCGCGUGAGUGAUGAAGGCCUUAGGGUUGUAAAGCUCUUUUACCCGGGAUGAUAAUGACAGUACCGGGAGAAUAAGCUCCGGCUAACUCCGUG